CCUCACUGGAACCAUUUCUGAAUGCACUACCCUCAGACUGCACUUGGCGUCUCACUUUCUGCACUAUUCUUCCGUCUUCAUUCUCUUUCUGUGACACUGCUGUAAUCUGAGAAAUCGAGCCCUGUUUGGAAGGCAGUAUACAUCGGGGUCCUCUCAGCUUCCUUUUCAGUCUGUUUCGCAAUGCUGGACAUCUUCCUGCUGAUGUUUUUCGCCAUUGUGAGUUUAGUGAUUCUGUCCUACAUCAUCUAUGUUCUGUAAGGAGAAGGAAGCAGCAGCCGGACCAGCAAUAACCAGGGGCUUUCAGAAAGCUGCAAGGCGGAGCCUGUUGGAAUCAUGAGAGAUGGCUGGCAUUGCGUUUUUCCUCAGUUGGCCCACAGCAGUGAUGGGGGAUCCCCAUAUUGGACUUUAAGCCCGUUUUCCUUGGAUUCAUCUCCUCAAUGGGACAGUGUAGAAUCCGAAUGAACAGAGGCAACUGCUGAGCUACGUCGACUCACCAUCAUGAAGAUUAUAGAACAUCGAACAUAGAACAUUACAGCACAGUACAGGCCCUUCGGCCCUCGAUGUUGUGCCAACCUGUCAUACCGAUCUCAAGCCCAUCUAACCUACACUAUUCCAUGUAUGUCCAUAUGCUUGUCCAAUGACGAUGAUUGAUAGGUACCUAGAGUUUUCCUGAAACAAAUACCAUCCAUCCUAGUUUUGUUUCCAGGAGAUCUCAAGAUGUUGGCAGAUGAACACUCCUGGCCAUUGUGUUGGACCAUGCCUUCUGAUGGGAAAUUAAAACUGUUGAAAUAUGGAACCAUGUAUCUCUCUCUUGGGUUGGUCAGCUGUGUAUUCCGACAGUAGAUUAGGAAGUGAUGUCUGUUCAGUUCAGGGUGGUUUUCAGAUACUUCACAUUGCACAUUUGUAGACAUGACUCAGCAUCUUCAAACCUGCAUUAAUUGUGUAUACACUAGGUAUCAUGCUGUGGCCUGACUGUUCGCAAAGAGAAAGUUAGAUUAAUAUACCCACAAGUAGACAGCGAAUCUGUUGUACUUUAUUCUUGUUUAUCAAUUAAUUCAGUAUUGAGACUAUGAAGAUAUUUUGAAGCAAAAGCAGAAUAUUGCAAAUGCUGGAUAUGUAAAAUAGGAUUGUGCAAUAAGAAAGAAACAGAGUUAGCUUUUCAUGUUGUGUUCACCUUUCAUCACAACUGGAAGGUUAUGAAUGACAGGUGGAGGGCAGGAAUGAUGAAGUGAUAAGGGAGCAAACGGCAAAUGGAAAAAGUGAAGAAACAAAAGAUGGUGCAUGGGAUGCAUAUAAUGUAGGGCCCUUUGCACAAUUUGUUAUAUUUCGCUGCAACCACACACACGCUGUCUGCAUUCAAACCUACUCCUGUUAGUGAAAUCUCUUCCCCUGCACCCUACUGUUCUGCUUUGGUUUUGGAACUUGGUAAAUAUAUGCUUAUUUUGAAGUAACUCAUACAUAAUAUUGUUAAGAAUUUAAACUUCAUUAUCUGUCAUGGUAGGAUUUGAACCCACAGCACUAGCCUGUAAUUCUAGAUUACAAGUCCAGCGGUAUUAGCGCUGUGCCAUGAUCUCGCUCUAUUAUAUCUGGUGCCAGCUUCCAAUUGAAUUGUGCUAUUGGUUUGGGACAGUGCUUCAUAUUGAAACUAAUUGAAAACAAUAGCUCAAACACUGCAAAUGUGGCCCAGCUACCCAGCACUCAGACCCUCGCUUUGAUUACCUGGUGGAGCAGACUAGCAACAAAAUUUAAACGCAGUGCUAAAUAAAACUGAGCUAUUGUGGAAAUCAGUGAGAGAGCUGAGACAUUGGUUUUCAAUCACAAAAGUGCAGAAGGUGGCCAUUUGGCCCAUUGCGCCUGCACAAGCUCAUUAAAUGAGCAUCCCCAUUACCUAGUGCCAAUCUCCUGCUUUUCCCCCAUAAACGUGCACAUUAUUUUUAACCAAAUUGGGCUUCUAAGCAAUCUACAGAUUUCUGCAGUUAUCAAGUUAUGUAUCAACCUAGCCUUGCGAAGUAAAUAGAAAUUGUAGCUGGAAUUAAAUGCCCUCCUGUAUGGCAAGAUUAAUAGCGAAGUAGCAAGUAAUUGAUUAGGAGGAUGGUGCGUAGGUGCCUCACUGCCCUGGUUAAGUUUUUGGUGAAUUCUGUCUCAGUGCUAAUUGAGACCCUUAAGUGGGCAAUUAACUCCCAUUUAAGAGCUUUAUUCCCAUACCGCUGGUAAUGUAAUUUUGGGAUAGUUUGCUAGCAUUAGAGGAAUCUUAAUGUGUAGAGGCUUUUAUCUUAACUGCAACGGAGUUUAUUGCUUGUAAGAAAUCAACAAUAAAUUACACUCGUAAGAUAGACAUUCUCACCAAAACUGUGAGCUGACCUAA